AGUGAACGCUGGCGGCAGGCCUAACACAUGCAAGUCGAACGGCAGCACAAGAGAGCUUGCUCUCUGGGUGGCGAGUGGCGGACGGGUGAGGAAUGCAUCGGAAUCUGCCCAUUUGUGGGGGAUAACCUCGGGAAACCGGGACUAAUACCGCAUACGACCUACGGGUGAAAGCAGGGGAUCUUCGGACCUUGCGCAGAUGGAUGAGCCGAUGCCGGAUUAGCUAGUUGGAGGGGUAAAGGCCCACCAAGGCGACGAUCCGUAGCUGGUCUGAGAGGAUGAUCAGCCACACUGGGACUGAGACACGGCCCAGACUCCUACAGGAGGCAGCAGUGGGGAAUAUUGGACAAUGGGCGCAAGCCUGAUCCAGCCAUGCCGCGUGUGUGAAGAAGGCCUUCGGGUUGUAAAGCACUUUUGUUGGGAAAGAAAAGCAGCCGGUUAAUACCCGGUUGUCAUGACGGUACCCAAAGAAUAAGCACCGGCUAACUUCGUG
rnacentral:rRNA from 1 species